AAGCGCCGCGGGCGGGGGCCGGAGGACCCGGGUCCGGCGGGAGGGCUCGCGCGGGUGCGCCCUGCCGUGGGAAGGUCGGUUUGGGGGCUCCUGUCUUCGCUGCUCUCCCCUGCAGAUCCCCAAGGGCAUCUGGACGCCUGGAAGGGCCGAUCCUGGAGCCGAGGCUGAAGGCUGGAAUUGGGAGGGGGGAGCGGAGGGAGAAGACUGCCGCGCACCGUGAGCCGCUCCAUUGCCGGAUCCCCGUGUGACCGCCCACAUCCCACGCCCCGGCAGGCCCACCCUCCUUCCAGCCAAACCCUUCUCUGCGCCGGUCCCGCGGCCGCCGGAGAGGCGAGGAGGGCUGGAGAAAGGAAGACUCCAUUCCCCGCUUCGUCCUCUGUGGGACAUCAAAGGUGUCAGCUUUCGCUUUUUUAGGGUGAAGCGUAUUUGCGGAGUUUCACAGCUGCCCGUUAUUCUUCCCUUCUGAGCAUCCGGACAACCCUGAGGAGUGCGCAGAGGGGCUUCGGUCAGCCCCGGCCCCCAGAGCGUGGUCGGGGUGCUCAUUGCCCGCUUAAGUGUAGAGUGUACCUAACUGUUCACGCUGAGGCAGAGGGUCAGGUUAAGGGACUUUUGACCUGAAGGCAAGUGGCAGUGAGGGGCAAGAAGAACUGGGGCCUCCGGACCCUCAGACAGGGCUAUUUGCCACCAUCUAUGCUGAACAUAGUCCAGAGGCUCAGAAGGGUCUUCCUGGGGUCAUCCUUCAUCUUUCAGGUUCUGGAGCUUACGAGAAAGCGUCCCGAGCAAGCCUGAUUCCCACCAACCCUUCUUUUUUUUCAUCUGCCUGGCACUGAAGUUGGACUCUCCCAGAGAAGAAGCCAAAGAACAACAAAAAACAAAAAACAGAAAAACUCUCCAUUACCUGAGGGAACAUACUACCGCAGAUAACUGAUUUCCCUCAUAUCAUUUCAAGGGCAAGCAGACUAUACCAGUUCCCCCAGAGGAAGUGACCUGGCUGAGCAGGUGAAAAGGAGGUGGAAGAACUAAGGAAACACAUUUCUUAGCGCUGUUGCUUCCUCAUUCCAUGGACUUGAGUGCCUUUUGUUUCUUCCUCUAAAUUAUGCAUAAUUACUCCUGACUAGCGGAAUUACUGGGAAUCACCAUUUGUCAUAUGCUUGGAUUCUGUGACUUUUGCAGGAAAUGGACCAAAGCAAAGGAGUGAAGCUUAAUUUUGUGAAACAGCGGUUGUUUCUCCAGAUGACAGCCAGAUGCAGUCAGGGCCACCCAGAGAUCUUACCUAGAAGCUGCAGAUACCAGUGAGAACCACCCCCUUCAGACUUAACUGGACUCAGUGUUAACAGGAUUCAUGUAUACUCCGUUCUCAGGAGCAGCAGCCAGGCACCAUGGCCUGGAGAAGAGACCUGGGGAGGAACCAAGAAUCGGCCAAAGCAGGUCAGGCUAAGGUGCUUUAGCAAACAGCCCAGACAGCUCUAGAAGUCCAGAUCCUCUGCCUGAGUUACCAGCCCUGUGACCAGGCAGGGAACAACCUGUGAAGUGUUAGUAAUUUGUGCUUAUAGUUCUGUCCCCUGCAGUUGUAAAACAGAUAAAAUGCAGGGCCCAGAAACCUCCAGCACACAGCAUCAGUUCAGUCCUCACUGCCCUAACCAGUUCUUUCCCCUGAGCUGACACCUCCUUGCGCACUGUUGUCUCUUUGAAGCUUUGUGUUUAUUGUGCAUUUUGCUCAGCACAGGAGUUAGUGUCAGAGUGCCUCGGUUAAAACCUGCCUCAUCAAUUCCUAACUGGGUGAUCUCAGGUCUGCUUAACCCAUCCAUGCCUCCGUUUCCUCAUCCAGGAAAUGGAUGAUGCUGUCUACCUCGCUGAAUGUACAGGACCAUGCAGUCACUCAACGAAUGGGUUCUGAGUACCCGCUAGGCACUCAUGGUGCUAGGUGCCAUCCCAGGUCCUCAGAGUACAUCUGUGAACACAGUUGGCUGGGGUGGGGCAAACAGCAAAAUCUACAUGAUCUGCUAUGUUUGAUCCACGCUGCAGAGGGAAAAGGAGGUGGAGCGGCCUCAGGUAUCAGCGGUGCUGGGACGCGCUAGUGAUGGUCACAAUAUUAAAGAAGAGGUCAGGGCAGGUUCCAUUGUGAUGGUGACAUCUGAGAUGAGGGAGUUGAUCAAGCUGAAGCCUAGGUGAGAACAGGGUCCCAGGUGGAGGACACAGUGACAACAAAGGCAACAAAGGUACGGAAGUUCAGUGAGGCAGCCAGUGAGUGAGGGCAGUGGGGUGUUAGUUUAGGAUGGAGGUUGGGAUGGGGGACAACUGGAGGCCAUGAGAAGGUGCUUUCCUUGACUCCAGAUGGGACUGUGACAAAUCCCACAAGUGAAGCAACAGAAAGAGAACCCUGAAUGUAAACCCUGCUCGAGGACCAUCAAGCCACCUCACACUGAUGUGUACAUUUCAUUUGGGUUAUAGUAUGUUGCGGAUAUGAAAUGUUUGCUGUGCCACCAAUCGCUUCAACUUUGGGGAGACCAGAAGUGGACAGAAGAUCCUGGCUUCUAGAAGUUGGAAGGGGAACCAGAUAAUAAAUAAAUGGCUUUGCAGUA